GCCAGCAACCGCGGUAAUACGGAGGAUCCAAGCGUUAUCCGGAUUCAUUGGGUUUAAAGGGUCCGUAGGCGGGUCUUUAAGUCAGUGGUGAAAGCCGACGGCUCAACUGUCGAACUGCCAUUGAUACUGGAGACCUUGAGUACAAAUGAAGUAGGCGGAAUGAGUCAUGUAGCGGUGAAAUGCAUAGAUAUGACUCAGAACACCGAUUGCGAAGGCAGCUUACUAACAUGUAACUGACGCUGAGGGACGAAAGCGUGGGGAGCGAACAGGAUUAGAUACCCUGGUAGUCCACGCCGUAAACGAUCAUCACUCGCUGUCGGCGAUAUACUGUCAGCGGCCAAGCGAAAGUAUUAAGUGAUGCACCUGGGGAGUACGCCGGCAACGGUGAAACCCAAAGGAAUUGACGGGGGCCCGCACAAGCGGUGGAGCAUGUGGUUUAAUUCGGUGAUACGCGAGGAACCUUACCAGGGCUUAAAUGUAGUAUGACCGGCUUAGAAAUAGGCCUUCUCUUCGGAGCAGAUUACAAGGUGCUGCAUGGUUGUCGUCAGCUCGUGCCGUGAGGUGUUAGGUUAAGUCCUGCAACGAGCGCAACCCCUAUUCUUAGUUGCCAGCGGUUCGGCCGGGGACUCUAAGAAGACUGCCAGCGCAAGCUGAGAGGAAGGUGGGGAUGACGUCAAAUCGUCACGGCCCUUACGUCCUGGGCUACACACGUGCUACAAUGGUAGAGACAGAGGGCAGCCACCUGGUGACAGGGAGCGAAUCCUUAAACUCUAUCUCAGUUCGGAUCGAAGUCUGCAACUCGACUUUGUGAAGCUGGAAUCGCUAGU
rnacentral:rRNA from 1 species